GGAAGUAUCUUAACAGGGAGCUAUGCAAACCAAGUGAUAGCUGCCCUUUGCACCUGAACAUUAUCAAUACAGUGAGAGGUUGUAAAUUAAUUCGAGGUGUCUAAGGUAUCGAACACCAGAAGUGUGCACUUGAGAAGUUUCCCGACCCCAUGAUUGCACAUGGAGUGCUUGAAUUGUCAGUCCAGGUUUCGCCGCAUAGCACAAUUAUAAGCACAGUUCUAUAUAUUUCCAUCUUCGUGUUUUGCAUUUUUCGUGUAUUUCAAUACUCUCUUCUUCGCUCUUUUCUCUCAUCGUGUCAUGUCCUUAAUCAUGAAUAUCUUAUGACGAUCCAGUGGUUCAUUGAAACAGAAUGCUUGAACCUCGAUUUCACCGAGCAUGAACCGUGCUCAGAGUUGCAACAAAGUAACAAAGUGGCAGCCUCGCUGCGUCUGGUGUGCUGCGUGCUAUUACUGGUAUGUUCUUUUGUCUUUGACUUUGAGGCCCUGCUUGCACUCUCAGCAAGUACCGAGUGCAUCCUGGAGUACAAGUAAGCCUGAGCUUGAAACCUACCCGUGACCCGGACCCCGGUACUAGCAACAGUCCAUAGUCCCCCAGAGUGCGCAACUAAUUUACUUCACUGAUCAGAUCUGGGACGGCGAAAUCCGUGUUGCACGUCAUAGUGUGACAUCAUGAGCAGGGGAGGUGUGUCCGCGUGGUGAACCGCGUCGAAGAUGCAAGUCCGACC